rnacentral:rRNA from 1 species
AUGGGUAAGACAUCACGGAAGAGCGAUGUGUUCAGCUUUGGGAUCAUGUUUCUCGAAGUCUUCACCGGGAAGAGGCCCACAAAUCCGAACUUCAUCGGAGAAUCCAGUCUUAGGCAGUGGGUUUCACAAGCAUUUCCGACAAGACUUGUCAAUGUUGUUGACAAGAAGCUUCUGCAAGGUGAAGAGAUAACUAGGUAUGGACCAUGUGGCUUUCAUCACCAAAGGAAUACUAGUGAAUUGGCAUCAUCCUCCACAGCCUGGAACAUCGACUUUCUCAUGUCGGCAUUUGAGUUAGGUCUGGAGUGUUCAAGCGAUUCUCCUGACUAG